GGGAAAAGGAGAAAUUAAAUAGGCCUGUAAUGAAUUAAUCGCUUGAUAAAUUAAAACGAACUCAAUAGUUUCAACUUGAAUUAUUUAUCGUUUUUUUUCUCUUUCUACCAAAAACUGGAUGAUAAAAGUCUUCAGCCUGGUGAUUUGGUCUCAACCAGACACUUUUUAAGGA